GAUGAACGCUGGCGGCGUGCCUAAUACAUGCAAGUCGAGCGAACGGACGAGAAGCUUGCUUCUCUGAUGUUAGCGGCGGACGGGUGAGUAACACGUGGAUAACCUACCUAUAAGACUGGGAUAACUUCGGGAAACCGGAGCUAAUACCGGAUAAUAUUUUGAACCGCAUGGUUCAAAAGUGAAAGACGGUCUUGCUGUCACUUAUAGCUGGAUCCGCGCUGCAUUCGCUAGUUGGUAAGGUAACGGCUUACCAAGGCAACGAUGGAUAGCCGACCUGAGAGGGUGAUCGGCCACACUGUAACUGAGACACGUUCCAGACUCCUACGGGAGGCAGCAGUAGGGAAUCUUCCGCAAUGGGCGAAAGCCGGACGUAGCAACGCCGCGGGAGUGAUGAAGGUCUUCUGAUCGGAAAACGCUGUUAUUAGGGAAGUACAUAUGUGUAAGUAACUGUGCACAUCUUGACGGUACCUAAUCAGAAAGCCACGGCUAACUACGUG
rnacentral:rRNA from 1 species